GCAUUCCAGACGCACCCGGGGAGACAGGCAUCCAUCUCGAGUGGAAGCAAAGAACCCCGCUCUGCUCUCGAGUCGCGACGGGUAUCUCUUGGAGCUCACUGGGUGGACUAAAGGGAGUCAAGCCUCCUGAGGCGUUUGGAGAGAGGUCGCGAGAUUGGUCUCUAGGCCAUGCAGGAGACGAAGGCCCUCAUCUCGCGAUGACGGGGGAUCUUGGGGUUGUUCUCGAGCGGCGGCCCCAGUGUGCGCUUUCUCACGAGGUACGACGGCGAGGUCAGUGAGCCUCUCGUGGGGCGCCAGGGAAGUCGGGUCUCCAUGCGAGUGGCGAGGGCGAGCGCCUCAUUGCUCUCGAGCCAUGGUAGGGUGCCGGGGACCAGCCCCGGCUGAUCCAGGGUAUUCGAAGGAGAGACGGCGUAGGCGAAGAUCAGGAAACCACUGCUUAAUUAAAUGUUAAUUAAGGAUAUAAAGAGUAAUAGAAUGAGGAUAGCUCAGUGAGGAAAUUCAGUGGAGAAAAGAGGCUGAAUAAUUCAGCCAGAAGGUAAGAGAAAGAACGACAUGGUGAGAC
ensembl:lncRNA